rnacentral:lncRNA from 1 species
CAGAUUGCGCGCGCGCAGUUCAUGCAUCGAUAGUCAACCGUUCGCGGCUCGACAGUCACCCGCGUGCGAGUCGAAUUAUUUGUAUUUUUUAGUUUAGUGAUAAAGAAGUUUAUAAAAAAAUAUAAAAAAUAGUGACAGGCAAAAACAAUUAGGACGUCACCGUCACCUAAUAAUAUUAAACUCAUAUUUGUUGAGCUGUUUGCUUGGAUAUUCAGUGAAAUGUUACCGCCAAGAUGGCGACACACAAUAUCAAAAUUGUUUAUAAUCCCUCAGCGGUACGUCCUGGGCAUCAUGGGUCUACUGGCUGUUUGCAACGCAUACACUAUGCGCGUGUGUCUCAAUCUGGCUG